rnacentral:rRNA from 1 species
GAGCUCCCAUGGCGCCUGUUUAUCAAAAACAUGGUUUUUUGUGAAGGAUAAAAAAUCUAACCUGCUCACUGCUUAGGUAAAGAGCCGCAGUAUUUUGACUGUGCUAAGGUAGCAUAAUCAUUUGUCUUUUAAAUGAGGUCUAGAAUGAAAGGUUGGUCGAGGAAACACUGUCUCCUUGUUAUGAGGUGAAUUUAAUUAUUUAGUAAUAAGGCUAGUAUAAAUCUGAGGGACAAUAAGACCCUAUUGAAUUUAAUUUGUAAAUUUUGCUGGGGCGGCAGGGUAAGAGUAAAAUCUUAUUUUUUAAGGUUUGUAAUUUGAAGACCCAAUAGUAUUGAGGAAAAGAUGAAAUUACCAUAGGGAUAACAGCUUAAUUUUUUUUGGAAGUUCAUAUUUAAAAGAAAGGUUGAGACCUCGAUGUUGAAUUAAAGGUUCUUGUAAGUGUAGAAGUUUAUGAAGAAAGU